GACAUGCUCCAUUACUCUUUUUGGAAAAUAGAAACGGUGAUAUUGUUUGUUGUACUUUCGUUGUCCGUCGUCUGCGUCAGAAUGUCAGAUGGAAAGGUUAUUGGUCAGGAUACAACAGUCAUAAAUGGAGAAAAUGCCACUUUGUUGUGUCAUCUGACUGAAACAGAUGAUGAUCUAACUCGUAUUAUAUGGAAGAAAAAGACACGAGAAAACCCUGAGGAAACCCUGUUCUUUGUCAUUCGCCAAGGGGACAAAACUGAACACAAGAAUGGAUUGAUAACCAGGUUACAAUUUAUUGGGAACUUUGCAGAGAAAAAUGGAUCAAUUCAGCUGCUCAGAAUGAGGCUUCUGGAUGAAGGGAUCUACACAUGUACCUUCAACCUAUACCCUAGUGGGCCAUUAGAGACUGACAUCAAUGUCACCGUUUUUGCUCGUCCUGUGGGUACUGUCAAAGGGGAGGCACCUGUUGCUGGAUAUCUAGAGGUGAAGUUGGCAUCAUGCUUUGCCUCUAAUGCGUGGCCUGCAGCAGAAGUGAUGUGGAGAUUAGGAGAUCUGGAAAACUCUCUUAGGACUGAAACCAAUCAUAUAAUAAACCCAGAUGGGACCAUUACUGUUGUGUCCUACCUACUUGGUGUCCCAUUAAAACAUUUAAAUAAGAAGAACAUCCAGUGUGUUGUGAAACACAACACCCAAGAAGAGGAACUUGUGCUGAACUACAGAAUAAACAUUCAUUAUCCUCCUGAGUCAGUGGUUAUAAUUCCUGACACUCCAAAAAAUGCUAAAGAAUUCAGGUGUAUAGUGGAUAGUAACCCAGAACCAACCAGCUACAUCUGGACAAGAGAAAGUACUCCCUAUUAUGAAGGCAACAAGCUUCCGGUGCCUAAACUGUCCCCUGACAUUAAUGGCUUGUACAUUUGUAAUGCUUCAAAUCAAUAUGGAAGUUCAUUAGGUUCACUGUAUAUCAGUGUUCAUACUGAAACCAGCAACGUCUGUUGGGGUCUGUUUGGUUUUUUCAUCUGCUGUGCUGUUCUUGUUGUUGUUUUUGGUGUGAUAUUCAGAUACAAGCGGGAAUGGAUUAGAGUACUACAGUGUUCCAGUGAUCAGGGAGAACAGGGUAGUGGAGAACAACAAAGACCGGAGGAAGACCCUGAUGAUCAGGCUGAAAGUGGUAAUCCAGUCUCUCCUGUGCAGUUACAAAACACUUUAAUUUAUGUGGACAUGAAUCAGAAUGAGUUUAUAGUCUCAGGCUCAUGCUCUAUACAUUAAUCCACUCAAGAUGGCCGCAUCCUUUUUGUGAAUCAACAUGUUUUUCUUUAAUUUUGAUUUAAAAAAAAAAAAAGUGUAGGACCUCGGUGAACAGUCACGCCAAUAACUGCAGAAUCGGCUACUUCUGCCAAAGGAAUUAUAAAACCUACUUCCUCCCAUUUGCUAUCUGAACACCGUUAAUGAUUAGCUGAGGAAAAACAAUGCUCAAGAUUGUCUGGACCCCUUUCCUGUCAAGGAAACAAAUGGCUAAAGGACUUUGCGACAUUAAAGGGUUAUGAUAAUGUGAUCAUACAACAGAGGACAAGUCUGUUGCAAAAUACCCCCGCUCAUGAGUAAACUAAUGGGACAUCGACACCCUGAGUCCCUAAAAAGGACCUGAUUUAACUAACUCUUUUUACAAGAUACAAAGACCCUGUGUAACACAGCAUCACAUGAUCCCAAUGUAUGGAAACGCCACAGGAAUCGUUAGUAAUUAAUGGACCUCGACAAAAAGAACCAAUACAGGACCUAUGUAUUGGAACAUGUUAGCAUUUCUGCCAAAGACUUCCAUGAUCAAAUGGUUGUAACAUAUUGGAUCUAUAUGGCCCCCACUCACCAUUUCUUUCAUACCUUUUUUCUCUCCUGUCUCUAUUGUCCUAGAAACAGAAAAGACCAAAUUAAAUGGAUUUUGAGGUCCAGACACAUAUUGCCCUCAGAGACUGAAAAAAGAGAAAAGUAACUAAAUUCGGAGAGGACAACAAAAGGAACAAAAACAGUUAAACCGUUAACCCACAGCCAUCUGUCUGUGGUAUCUGUUAACACAUCCCU